rnacentral:rRNA from 1 species
CACGGGGGUUGCGAGCGUUGUCCGGAAUUACUAGGCGUAAAGGGCAGGCAGGCGGAUCCAUAAGUUUAUCGUUUAAGGCGUCGGCUUAACCGGCGUAGGGCGGUAGAUACUGUGGAUCUGGAAUGCGGUUGGGGAAGACAGAAUUCCUGGUGUAGCGGUGGAAUGCGCAGAGAUCAGGAGGAAUACCGAAGGUGAAGGCAGUCUUCCAAGCCGUUAUUGACGCUCAACUGCGAGGGUGUGGGUAUCAAACAGGAUUAGAUACCCUGGUAGUCCCUGA